CGAACGCUGGCGGCGUGCCUAAUACAUGCAAGUAGAACGCUGAAGGAGGAGCUUGCUUCUCUGGAUGAGUUGCGAACGGGUGAGUAACGCGUAGGUAACCUGCCUGGUAGCGGGGGAUAACUAUUGGAAACGAUAGCUAAUACCGCAUAAGAGUAGAUGUUGCAUGACAUUUGCUUAAAAGGUGCAAUUGCAUCACUACCAGAUGGACCUGCGUUGUAUUAGCUAGUUGGUGGGGUAACGGCUCACCAAGGCGACGAUACAUAGCCGACCUGAGAGGGUGAUCGGCCACACUGGGACUGAGACACGGCCCAGACUCCUACGGGAGGCAGCAGUAGGGAAUCUUCGGCAAUGGACGGAAGUCUGACCGAGCAACGCCGCGUGAGUGAAGAAGGUUUUCGGAUCGUAAAGCUCUGUUGUAAGAGAAGAACGAGUGUGAGAGUGGAAAGUUCACACUGUGACGGUAUCUUACCAGAAAGGGACGGCUAACUACGUG
rnacentral:rRNA from 1 species